CUGGCGGCAUGCUUUACACAUGCAAGUCGAACGGCAGCAGCGGGCUUCGGCCUGGUGGCGAGUGGCGAACGGGUGAGUAAUAUAUCGGAACGUGCCCAAGAGUGGGGGAUAACGUAGCGAAAGUUACGCUAAUACCGCAUACGAUCUAUGGAUGAAAGUGGGGGAUCGCAAGGCCUUGUGCUCCUGGAGCGGCCGAUAUCUGAUUAGCUAGUUGGUGAGGUAAAGGCUCACCAAGGCGACGAUCAGUAGCUGGUCUGAGAGGACGACCAGCCACACUGGAACUGAGACACGGUCCAGACUCCUACGGGAGGCAGCAGUGGGGAAUUUUGGACAAUGGGGGCAACCCUGAUCCAGCAAUGCCGCGUGAGUGAAGAAGGCCUUCGGGUUGUAAAGCUCUUUUGUCAGGGAAGAAAAGGGUACGGCUAAUAUCCGUGCCUCAUGACGGUACCUGAAGAAUAAGCACCGGCUAACUACGUGCCAGCAGCCGCGGUAAUACGUAGGGUGCAAGCGUUAAUCGGAAUUACUGGGCGUAAAGCGUGCGCAGGCGGUUUUGUAAGUCUGUUGUGAAAUCCCCGGGCUUAACCUGGGAAUGGCAAUGGAGACUGCAAGGCUAGAGUUUGGCAGAGGGGGGUAGAAUUCCACGUGUAGCAGUGAAAUGCGUAGAGAUGUGGAGGAACACCGAUGGCGAAGGCAGCCCCCUGGGUCAAGACUGACGCUCAUGCACGAAAGCGUGGGGAGCAAACAGGAUUAGAUACCCUGGUAGUCCACGCCCUAAACGAUGUCUACUAGUUGUUGGGUCUUAAUUGACUUAGUAACGCAGCUAACGCGUGAAGUAGACCGCCUGGGGAGUACGGUCGCAAGAUUAAAACUCAAAGGAAUUGACGGGGACCCGCACAAGCGGUGGAUGAUGUGGAUUAAUUCGAUGCAACGCGAAAAACCU
rnacentral:rRNA from 1 species